UGAUAGCCUCAUUGUCACCUCAGUCACAUAUCAGAACAAAAGAAAAGCAAUUCUGUUGGCCUGUCAACUGGUGACAUCACUGUUUCUACUCAAAUUUAACUUAAAACAAGCAUUCUUCUUUCUCAAAGUACUGACAUAUCUAUUUCACUUUUGAAAUAAAUAUAGAAGAGCUGGUUUCUGAAUCUACUUUUUUUCCUUAUUCCUUUUAGAUGCUAUUUUUGGAUUGCAAUCUAUUAUUUUUGAACUGCUGUAUAAACCACCUUCCAUGUUUUGGCAGAUAAACAAUAUAUAAUAGUACAAUCCUACGCAUAUCAGCAAUAAGUCCCAAAAAUGUAGACAGAUAGUAACUUCCAAUGGACUUGGGAAGGGAGAAGAAAGGACUUGUAAUGAAAUAUGCUAACAGUUCACCAAAUACAGCAAGAAGUGUUUGUGCCUUUGGCAAUAGGAGUAUACAUGAAUGACACUAUUGUGUGAAGCCAACCAUUGUGUUCCUCAGACCACCAGAAGAUGGUCUUUUUGCAUAAAUAUUUGACUGCAUUGAAAGAUGUCUGGAAAUGUAUUUUUGUAAAUCAAAACAUUUUUUGCAACCAAUGUAUUAAACUGAGUCUUUGGUACUCUGUCUUCUAGUUUUCCACCAUCUUAUGCAACUUGAUCUCUUUAUCCAUUUUUGCUCUGCAUCUUUCUGCAUUGUUCAUAUGAGUAAUCUAUGAGUGAUUCUCAAAGAGACCGGCAGCUCUUUUAAGAUUGUGGAUGUUGAUUAUGUAAUUUGCAUCUCUCGUUCCCUGACUUCAUCUUGAAGACUGAGAGCACAAAAAUUUUGGAAGAGUAAAUAAGAAUGGGUAAACAAUAUAAUUCUGAUCAUUUCAAA